rnacentral:tRNA from 1 species
UAUGUCUGUGGCUCAGUGGUAGAGCAUUUGCUUGGCAUGUGUGGGGCACUGGGUUUGAUUCUCAGCACCACAUAA